GACGAACGCUGGCGGCGUGCCUAACACAUGCCAGUCGAACGCUAAAGGCUGGUUCUUGUGCGAUCUGGAUGUGCAGCGAGCGGGUGAGUCACGCGUGGGACCUCUGCCUGUCUGCGGGGGACAAUAAUUGGACACGAAUGCUUAUACCGCAUAAACACUUUCAACACAAGGUGUGAGUUUGAAUGUUGCCAUUGCGUCACUCAAAGACGAUCCAGCGUUGUAUUAGCUGGUUGGUGAGGUAAAGGCGCACCAAGGCGAUGAUGCAUAGCAGACCUGAGAGGGUGGUCUGCCGCACUGGGAGUGUGACACGGCCCAAAGGGCUACGGGAGGGAGCAGGAGGGGAACGUCGGGCAUGGACGGAAGACUGACCGAGCAACGCCGCGUGAGUGAAGAAGGUUGUCGGGUCGUAAAACUCUGUUGGUAGAUAAGAACGUUGGUGAGAGUGUAAAGCUCAGCAAGUGACGGUAACGACCCAAAAAGCGACGGCUAACUACGUG
rnacentral:rRNA from 1 species